GAAGGUGUUUCAUCCAAACAUCAACAGCAACGGUAGCAUAUGUUUGGAUAUCCUCAAGGAACAAUGGAGUCCAGCACUAACAAUCUCCAAGGUGUUGCUUUCCAUCUGCUCUCUGUUGACGGACCCGAACCCUGAUGAUCCGUUGGUGCCAGAGAUUGCUCACAUGUAUAAAACCGACAAGUCCAAGUACGAGGCCACUGCUCGUAGCUGGACGCAGAAGUAUGCCAUGGGCUAAUCUCUCGAGUCUCGUUUGAAUCAAAUCGAUUCUUGGAAGAAUAAAAAAUGUUGGUUUUUCACUUUUUAUUCUUGGAAUGUCUCAAUGAAGAAAUGGUUGUUAAGAUUGUCUCAGUUUGUGUAAUAUCGAAAUGAUGUUAAUCAAAGAGACUCAUUUUAGAAAGAAUGGCAUCUUUUUUAUU
rnacentral:lncRNA from 1 species